rnacentral:rRNA from 1 species
GACGAACGCUGGCGGCGUGCCUAAUACAUGCAAGUCGAACGCAUUUUCUUUCACCGUAGCUUGCUACACCGAAAGAAAAUGAGUGGCGAACGGGUGAGUAACACGUGGGUAACCUGCCCAUCAGCGGGGGAUAACACUUGGAAACAGGUGCUAAUACCGCAUAAUUCCAUUUACCGCAUGGUAGAUGGAUGAAAGGCGCUUUUGCGUCACUGAUGGAUGGACCCGCGGUGCAUUAGCUAGUUGGUGGGGUAACGGCCUACCAAGGCUGCGAUGCAUAGCCGACCUGAGAGGGUGAUCGGCCACACUGGGACUGAGACACGGCCCAGACUCCUACGGGAGGCAGCAGUAGGGAAUCUUCGGCAAUGGACACAAGUCUGACCGAGCAACGCCGCGUGAGUGAAGAAGGUUUUCGGAUCGUAAAACUCUGUUGUUAGAGAAGAACAAGGAUGAGAGUGGAAAGUUCAUCCCUUGACGGUAUCGAACCAGAAAGCCACGGCUAACUACGU